rnacentral:tRNA from 1 species
GGGUUGGUAGCUCAGUUGGUAGAGCAUCGGCCUUUUAAGCCGCUGGUCCCGGGUUCGAGCCCCGGCCAACCCACCA